rnacentral:rRNA from 1 species
UGGGGAAUAUUGCACAAUGGGCGCAAGCCUGAUGCAGCCAUGCCGCGUGUGUGAAGAAGGCCUUCGGGUUGUAAAGCACUUUCAGCGAGGAGGAAGGUGGUGGACUUAAUACGUUCAUCAAUUGACGUUACUCGCAGAAGAAGCACCGGCUAACUCCGUGCCAGCAGCCGCGGUAAUACGGAGGGUGCAAGCGUUAAUCGGAAUUACUGGGCGUAAAGCGCACGCAGGCGGUUUGUUAAGUCAGAUGUGAAAUCCCCGGGCUCAACCUGGGAACUGCAUUUGAAACUGGCAAGCUAGAGUCUCGUAGAGGGGGGUAGAAUUCCAGGUGUAGCGGUGAAAUGCGUAGAGAUCUGGAGGAAUACCGGUGGCGAAGGCGGCCCCCUGGACGAAGACUGACGCUCAGGUGCGAAAGCGUGGGGCAGCAAACAGGAUUAGAUACCCUGGUAGUCCACGCUGUAAAACGAUGUCGAUUUUGGAGGUUGUGCCCUUGAGGCGUGGCUUCCGGAGCUAACGCGUUAAAUCGACCGCCUGGGGAGUACGGCC